rnacentral:rRNA from 1 species
CCGCGUGAGUGAUGAAGGUCUUCGGAUCGUAAAACUCUGUUAUUAGGGAAGAACAUAUGUGUAAGUAACUGUGCACAUCUUGACGGUACCUAAUCAGAAAGCCACGGCUAACUACGUGCCAGCAGCCGCGGUAAUACGUAGGUGGCAAGCGUUAUCCGGAAUUAUUGGGCGUAAAGCGCGCGUAGGCGGUUUUUUAAGUCUGAUGUGAAAGCCCACGGCUCAACCGUGGAGGGUCAUUGGAAACUGGAAAACUUGAGUGCAGAAGAGGAAAGUGGAAUUCCAUGUGUAGCGGUGAAAUGCGCAGAGAUAUGGAGGAACACCAGUGGCGAAGGCGACUUUCUGGUCUGUAACUGACGCUGAUGUGCGAAAGCGUGGGGAUCAAACAGGAUUAGAUACCCUGGUAGUCCACGCCGUAAACGAUGAGUGCUAAGUGUUAGGGGG